CAACCCCCUUUUCAAGUUCCGUAAGCGUUAUAUUCAUAAAAUUAUUAUUACACGUACCGCGAAUCGUGCAUAUAACCGGGCAUACGUAUAUUUCCGCACUUCCACGAAAAUAAAUUUACGCACAUGUCGGCGGCUCGAGAAGCGACUCGUGUAUAUAAAUAUCGUUAGAAUUUUCGCUAGAACACCAGAAGCCAAGCGCUAGGUGAUUCAAUUUUGGGCAUCUGUUAUAUUCGGCGAACCGCCACUCGACGUCGCGCUACCGGAGGCCGAAAAAACGAGUCCGCUGAUUAUGCAUUUGCUGAGAGACCGCGUGUCCUCUCUUUAUCGGCGGGGGCCAAUUUAAAUUCCAGAAUCCACGUGACCGAGCCUCAGGGAUUUAAAGACGUACCCGCACGCAGACCCGGUGCAAAGAGACUCGAAAAAUAAAUGGAUCCCGACGUUAUUCUGACACCGUAGUGAAAACUGAACUGGAAAAUUGUGUACCAAUGCUCAGCUGUUUAUACGUACGAAUUCGAUGUUUAUACCGUACACUUUAUCUUCAUACGAUUCGACUCGUGAAUUAUAUAUACCACCAAUUGCCAACUGGGCGUACAACGAUAAUGAAAAUGAAAAAAAAAAAAAUUAUCGACUCGUUAGUACCUGACCCAGUAGUACCGAAGAACGAUGCGAAUGUAUAAUUACUGAACAAUUUCUCAAUUUUCGCAUUAAAAAAUUCAAUAAAAUGCAAAUAAAAAUAA